rnacentral:lncRNA from 1 species
UUAGUGCACAUACAACUUUUACUAGCUACUAUUUCUGACAAAAGGUAAAUGCAACGUCUAAUUUUGCUAUUGUACCUUCCAUUAUUAUUACCCAGACACCACUGAGUGGUAUUGUACUGGGUCGUACUUUUUUUUACUUUCCAUUAUUAGAGAUCUAGAAAGGUUAGUCGGAUUAAUAGAAUCUAUUUCUAAAUCAUAUUUACAUAGUUAAUCGCAUUAGAAAUAUUAUUAAAGCAACACACACGUUGAAAAUGAAGAAUCUGAAUAUUAGAAACCCACGUACUUAAUAUAUCUUAAGUACACUAGUAUCUAUUUUUCACAUGCACUAAAGAGACAUAAUUUAAAUGUAAUUAAUUUAUAUACAACGUAAAAUUAAAGUUUUUGAGACUAUCGGUGUAUUUUAAUAUGUUUUAGAACUUAAUCUUUCUUAUUUUAAAAGUUUUCAUCUUACUUUUUAUUGACGAUUACCCGUAGUUAUCAUGUAAGUAACCUAACAGUACUGUAAAUACUCACUUUAAACAUAAAAGAGGAAGAAUAUUAAGGGGAAAUUAAUAGUCAAAUACUCCUAGCAAGUUGAUGCUUUCUUUACUAAGGUCGACCAGACAAUGAAUCUGUUAUCGUUUGUCCGUGUUCAAAGCAACGAGAAACUGGAAACCAGUAAGAAGAAGAGACA